CCGAAAAGGUCGCCGCUUCAAGUUUGCGUUUAUCCUUUCCUCUGCGUUUCUUCUUCCGCAGUUUUCUCUGAUUUUCGUUUGGAUUUACAUAGCUUCUUCCUACUGAUUUCCACACUUCUCACCAAAAAAAAAAAUUAAUUCAACUUGGAUUUGUUAAUCUCAAGUUGCGCAAUUGAGGUUUGCAGUGAUUAUUUACUUUCAGUCGUUGAUUUCUCUGAAGAACAUAGUUCUAAUACUCAGACAGUUACAGAAUCUUUUGGCUCAAAAAAUAUUCAACUACUUAUAUAUCCUUAUCCAUUUAAUUUGCAUAUAUUUUACUCCUAAGUUUUGAUUUGGCAUAUGUGAAACUUAUGCAUACCAAAUUAACGAGAUGUCAAAUUUUAAAAAAACCCGUGGAUUCAACGUGCUGGAAACAAAAAAGGAAACGUCAAUGCGCUGAAGAAGGAAGGGAGUGGCUCACUCACAAAAAUCAACCUCUAAAAAGAGAUCAAAGGCUGACUCCCAAGCAUUUACUAGUAAGAAGAAUGCUAAAGCUAAGGGUGGUAAAGGAAGAAGCAAUAGCAGCAUGGUGCAGAACUCACAAAACUUAGAUGUGCAAUAAUCUCAAGUUUCAGAUGUCCAGCAUUCUCAGGUUUCAGAUGUGCAACAAUCUCAAGCAAGCAACAGAGAUGCUCUUACUGCAUUUAAGAGGCCAAGAGCAGUGGGACAUGGAAUAUUUGUCAGCAAAAGUGGCUAUACAUGUAUUGAGGCAAUUAGCAGUUUGGUUGCUAGUUUUGAGGUUGCAGGUUAAACUCUAUUGUUUGAUAUCUGUUUUUUUAAAACUUAAUUUGCAGCAAGGUAGGCCUGUUAAUAGGGUAAUCGACAGUUGAAGGAACAAUGGAGCAGUUGAAAGUUCAGCUAUAGUGACCAGUGAUCUUGAUUAUAAACCAAGUAAAAGGCCUGAAAUGGAAAGGAAAACAAGCAAUCACAACUAGACAACUUCAACAUAGAAGUGCUUUACUACAGUAUUUAAGGACAAAAUCACCAAAAGCUAAUGAAAAAACUGGAGGUGUUUGAGCUUCAACACUACUCUAUUGGGAACUGUUGUAUGCCGAUACUAUGAUUGUGUUUUGGAUAAUAUUUUUGUGGUGCAAGUUAUGAUGUAAUAUGAUGUAAACUAUUAAAGCUUGUUUUACUUCAAUGCACCUUAUGGGAUGUAAUGUAAAACUAAUCAAUUGUAGGCCUUUUGAGCUCUAAUACAAUGUGUUAUUUCUA